AUGCUGGAUUCAAGCUACAGGAUUUCACCAAAUGAAGAAAGGAGGCUUGGCAUACUUCCAGUCAAACUCCAUCACCUUAGCUCUUCCCAUCAAGAAAAUAUCAGCCUUCUGCCACAAUCCUUACCACAACAUCCCUUCCCCAUACUGCUACAUGCAGUAAUACAUAAGUAGUAGGCCCUUCUGCACAGGCACAUUUGCAAUGAGAGUAUAUUUGAUCCAUGCUUUAUGAUUGUAACAUUUUGGCAGGGGUAAAGUACCGCUAAGAGUCAAUGUUUGGAGGGGAGCAGAUGGGGAGUACAGCAGAAGGAGAUAUUUUCUAACUUGGGAAUGGCGUACUUUUCCAAUUUUGACCUUAAGGCUUUUCCAGUGUCUACAUAUUUGUAGUUUAUCAGAGUAUGGUUGAAUCAUCUAGGUAACUAACACAGAAUCAUCUGCGAUUCUGUGAUUCUGUUAACAUGGUUGGUGUCCAUAAGUUAAAAGCAAAAGAAACAUUAAGUGUUCAAUGAGGCAUUAGCCAAGUACACAGUACAUAAGAGAGUGUGAGUUUCAAAUGGGACUUGAAUUAGAAACUGUUCUUUCUGUUUAGGUGAGAGCAGAACACACAGUGUAAGAGAGCUGACAUAGUAUUUGGCAUAUUGUGGAAUGGAGGACAAAAUAGCAUUUCCAUUCCUGAUACAAAGCAAGGUAAUAGCAUUUCCAUUCCUGAUACAAAGCAAGGUAAUGAAUAUUAGUUAGCAUGGAACUAAAACUGAUGUUCAUUUAAAUAUGGAAUAUUUUAUCAUUUUUCUAUGUUGCAAUUUACUGUUAAUGUCUUUUUAGUUGGUAUCACGUAUCAUAAUCAUAACUGGAAGGUCAGUUGCUGUUGACAAAAGAUGACCAUUAGCACCCAUGCAGGCUGGAUCCCAGCAACUACACACUUGUUAUGUAAUUAAGGGACUAUGAAGCAGACAGACUCAGUGAUCCUGUCAGAAGUAUUUGUGUUACAUUCAACUCUGAGGAAUCUACCUGAUGGAAAGCUAUUCAGUGCUCUAAGCAGAAGCCACAGAACUUCAGAGCAAAUGCUUCAACCCACCUAGAUUUCAAAUAUUAAGUCAAUUCCAUGUCUGGCUUGAUAGAAAACCUGAUAUGAUAUUAAUACAAUACGAUUUAGUGUGGAUUCUGAAGGGUGUGG
rnacentral:lncRNA from 1 species